rnacentral:rRNA from 1 species
GAAACUGUGGGGGCUAGCCUAAUGCAAACAAGUCGAGAAAACAGAGAAAAGCUGCUCCUUUGACGUUAGCGGCGGACGGGUGAGUAACACGUUUGUAACUUACCUGUAUGACUGGGAUAACUUCGGGAAACCGGAGCUAAUACCGGAUAAUAUUUCGAAACCGCAUGGUUCGAUAGUGAAAGAUGGCUUUUGCUAUCACUUAUAGAUGGACCUGCGCCGUAUUAGCUAGUUGGUAAGGUAACGGCUUACCAAGGCAACGAUACGUAGCCGACCUGAGAGGGUGAUCGGCCACACUGGAACUGAGACACGGUCCAGACUCCUACGGGAGGCAGCAGUAGGGAAUCUUCCGCAAUGGGCGAAAGCCUGACGGAGCAACGCCGCGUGAGUGAUGAAGGUCUUCGGAUCGUAAAACUCUGUUAUUAGGGAAGAACAAACGUGUAAGUAACUGUGCACGUCUUGACGGUACCUAAUCAGAAAGCCACGGCUAACUACGUGCCAGCAGCCGCGGUAAUACGUAGGUGGCAAGCGUUAUCCGGAAUUAUUGGGCGUAAAGCGCGCGUAGGCGGUUUUUUAAGUCUGAUGUGAAAGCCCACGGCUCAACCGUGGAGGGUCAUUGGAAACUGGAAAACUUGAGUGCAGAAGAGGAAAGUGGAAUUCCAUGUGUAGCGGUGAAAUGCGCAGAGAUAUGGAGGAACACCAGUGGCGAAGGCGACUUUCUGGUCUGUAACUGACGCUGAUGUGCGAAAGCGUGGGGAUCAAACAGGAUUAGAUACCCUGGUAGUCCACGCCGUAAACGAUGAGUGCUAAGUGUUAGGGGGUUUCCGCCCCUUAGUGCUGCAGCUAACGCAUUAAGCACUCCGCCUGGGAA